rnacentral:rRNA from 1 species
GAUGAACGCUGGCGGCGUGCCUAACACAUGCAAGUCGAGCGAAGCGAUUUAGCGGAAGUUUUCGGAUGGAAGUUAAAUUGACUGAGCGGCGGACGGGUGAGUAACGCGUGGGUAACCUGCCUCAUACAGGGGGAUAACAGUUAGAAAUGACUGCUAAUACCGCAUAAGCGCACAGCAUCGCAUGAUGCAGUGUGAAAAACUCCGGUGGUAUGAGAUGGACCCGCGUCUGAUUAGCUAGUUGGUGAGGUAACGGCUUACCAAGGCAACGAUCAGUAGCCGACCUGAGAGGGUGACCGGCCACAUUGGGACUGAGACACGGCCCAA